UGGGCAAGCUAAAGGACAUGGUAACCC
rnacentral:piRNA from 1 species